rnacentral:lncRNA from 1 species
AUAUAGUCGUUUUGCGUAAUCGAAUACACUUUUUCUCUCUUCUUCUCACCAUGGACUGUUUCUCAAUUGUCUUCAUCUCCUUCAUGAUUCUUCACCAUUUUCUAUUUUCUUCAAGCUUUCUUCUCUUCUUGCCCUGGCGGUUCUUACAUCAAACACCGAUUCAAAUGUCGCUCCAACUACACCAAUUCUUUCUCUCCUUAUGCUGCUUCUCAUCUUCAGGUGACUUCAUUGCCGCUGGUUCCCCCUCAACCGACAACGAAAUUAACGGUUGAAAACUACUUAGUGUGGAAACAUUUUAUGAUUGCAACCUCAACUUCUAACCGUGUGAAUCGGUUCGUGUUAGGACAACAACCUCAACCUCAACUUCUAACCGUGUGAUGACAACAAGUUUAUUAAUCAAGUCAAUUUGGCUUAUCUUGGAUGGGAAGAGGUUGAUCAAGCUAUUUUCUCAUGGAUUAUGAACACUUUACCGGAGCGCCUUCAGCGUAGAGUCGUUGGAUGGGUGGAGCUUGACUCCUUAUGUAAUUCUCAGACGAAGCUCAAAGUAGGCAAUUACGUUCACAACUUGGCUAAAUCUCUCAAGGUUCGAGUUCAAUUGCACAAUUUCUCUCAAAUAUCAACCUGUGAUAACCUCUAUGGAGAUUCAAUCAGAUACUCCUACUCUUCACAAUCUGGAAUCGUUUCUAUUGACCUUCGAAUAUGGGUUUGUAAAGAACAUGCAGAAAGUCAUUUCCGAUGCAUUAUCUAUUAAUGUAGUCUCAGAUUCUCUAUCUUCAAUUAAACAAAUAUCUUCCCAGUUUGGUAAUUCCAUGUCUCCUUCAUCUCAUUAUCCUACAAGAUAUGAAUUGAAUCCUUAUCAGGCUGGUUUUGGUGGUUCGGGUAAUUUCAAAGGCGAUAGAGGAUGUCAUGGAGGUCAUAUUCGAGGAGCCAAAGGUUUUCAAUCGAUUUACCUCAACGUAUUUUGAGUAUUGUAACCAGAAUGGACAUGAUAUUAAUGUGUGCUAUUAUGCACCCCCAAAUUUUGGGGAUGGAUCUUCUUAUGGACAUGAUCCCUACCAAUCACUUGAUAGUCAACCUCUCUAUGGUUCAUGAACCACUGAAGAAUUUCAACCAUGAUCAAAUUUACAUGGGUAAUGAAACUUAUAUCAUUUUCUUAUGUUGGAAAUUCCAAUUUUUCUCCAUAUUAUAAUCUGAAUAUUUCCUUUUCACUAAACAACCAAUAAGUGUAUCACAAUUUGCUAGGGAUAAUUCAUGUUAUAAUAGUGAUGCUUUACUUCAAAGGUCUCUAACCAAGGAAGGCCUUUAUGUCUUCCAUGGUCUGCUGUAAAGUUCAAAGUCAUUUUAUAUCUUGUUUGUUGAACUCUAAUAAAGUUUCUUGUAAUAAACCUAUUGAUUUUUUUAUUUGACAUUAUAGAUUAGGGCACCC